rnacentral:rRNA from 1 species
UGGGGAAUAUUGGGCAAUGGGGGAAACCCUGACCCAGCGACGCCGCGUGGGUGAUGAAGGCCUUCGGGUCGUAAAGCCUUGUCAGGAGGAACGAAUGUUUCUGGGGUAAAUAGCUCUAGAAAGUGACGGUACCUCUGAAGGAAGCACCGGCCAACUCCGUGCCAGCAGCCGCGGUAAGACGGAGGGUGCAAGCGUUGCUCGGAAUCAUUGGGCGUAAAGGGUGCGUAGGCGGCUUUUUAAGUCUGACGUGAAAGCCCAAGGCUCAGCCUUGGAAGUGCGCCAGAAACUGAAAGGCUAGAGUGCCGGAGGGGAGAGUGGAAUUCCUGGUGUAGCGGUGAAAUGCGUAGAUAUCAGGAGGAAUACCGGUGGCGAAAGCGACUCUCUGGACGGUAACUGACGCUGAGGCACGAAAGCGUGGGGAGCAAACAGGAUUAGAUACCCCCGUAGUCC